UGGGGAAUUUUGCGCAAUGGGCGAAAGCCUGACGCAGCAACGCCGCGUGGAGGAUGAAGGUCUUUGGAUUGUAAACUCCUGUCAGCAGGGAAAAAGGCACCUGGCCACACCAGGUGAUUGAUUGUACCUGCAGAGGAAGCCCCGGCUAACUCUGUGCCAGCAGCCGCGGUAAUACAGAGGGGGCAAGCGUUAUUCGGAAUUAUUGGGCGUAAAGGGCGCGUAGGCGGCGUCUCAAGUGGAUGGUGAAAUCCCCGGGCUUAACCUGGGAACUGCCGUCCAAACUGAGAGGCUUGAGUCCGGGAGAGGUAAGUGGAAUUCCCAGUGUAGCGGUGAAAUGCGUAGAUAUUGGGAGGAACACCAGUGGCGAAGGCGGCUUACUGGACCGGAACUGACGCUGAGGCGCGAAAGCGUGGGGAGCAAACAGG
rnacentral:rRNA from 1 species